rnacentral:rRNA from 1 species
UACGGAGGAUGCGAGCGUUAUCCGGAUUUAUUGGGUUUAAAGGGCGCGUAGGCGGACGCUUAAGUCAGCGGUAAAAUUGCGGGGCUCAACCUCGUCGAGCCGUUGAAACUGGGUGUCUUGAGUGGGCGAGAAGUACGCGGAAUGCGUGGUGUAGCGGUGAAAUGCAUAGAUAUCACGCAGAACUCCGAUCGCGAAGGCAGCGUACCGGCGCCCAACUGACGCUGAAGCACGAAGGCGUGGGUAUCGAACAGG